UUUUGAAUAUUUUCUUCACAGGAUGUAAGAGGGAUUCCUACAAAACGACCUGUGAUCGACUACUUUCUGUGACAGCAAGAGUUUUAAUCUGCGGUGUUGCCACAGGACAAGGGAUACUUUGUUUAGUGAAAAUGAAGAGGCCCGACCUUGGGUGUUCGCUCGUAUCAGCUCACUUUUCCAUGAACAUUUUUACAGAGAGACAAAGUUUUUAACCUUAAUUAAUAUGCUAGCAGGCAAGUGUCUGUGGUGUAUUAUACGAACAAAAACAGAAAUUCUUAACAUAAUUUCAACGUUUUAUCGUAGCAAUGUUGUAAUUAUAUAAUAUAAUAAAGUUAGUAACUUGCAU